ACGAUGGUUUUUGUUUAGAAUCGAUUGCCGCUGCCCCUAUUUUUACUGAGAUCCGUCGAAGUAUUGUUGGUGUGAAAGGUAACCUUGGAUCACUUAAAUUCACAACCAAUUUGUGAAUUUUGAUUUCGGUUUGCCCUUAUUUGGAUUGUUUCGUGGACGAUAGUUGAUUAAGGGAGCUUCCCUAACUUUGAGGUAAGGGACUUUCUACUGGACUCACCUAAAGUUUUUGAGUUGUGUUGGACUGUAUGGAUGAUGAUUAAGAUGUACACGUUUGGUUGCAGACUAAAUGUUUAGUGUAUGUUGUAUUUGACUGGAAACAUAUAUAUAAAUACAUUGAUGUGUGAAUUGAUGUGGAUUGCCGAAAGUAUACAUGUGAAUGACUGAAAUUAUGCUUAUGUGUACAUGAUGAUAUUAAUAGAUUGUGCUGUAUAAAGAUUUGGAUGUGAA